rnacentral:rRNA from 1 species
UACAGAGGUCUCAACCGUUGUUCGGAUUCAUUGGGCGUAAAGGGUGCGUAGGCGGUCGUGCAAGUCGGAUGUGAAAUCCCCGAGCUCAACUCGGGAACUGCGUCCGAUACUGGCGGGCUUGAAUCCGGGAGAGGGAUGCGGAAUUCCAGGUGUAGCGGUGAAAUGCGUAGAUAUCUGGAGGAACACCGGUGGCGAAGGCGGCAUCCUGGACCGGCAUUGACGCUGAGGCGCGAAAGCGUGGGGAGCAAACAGG